GAUGAACGCUGGCGGCGUGCCUAAUACAUGCAAGUCGAGCGAACAGAUGAGGAGCUUGCUCCUCUGACGUUAGCGGCAGACGGGUGAGUAACACGUGGAUAACCUACCUAUAAGACUGGGAUAACUUCGGGAAACCGGAGCUAAUACCGGAUAAUAUAUUGAACCGCAUGGUUCAAUAGUGAAAGACGGUUUUGCUGUCACUUAUAGAUGGAUCCGCGCCGCAUUAGCUAGUUGGUAAGGUAACGGCUUACCAAGGCAACGAUGCGUAGCCGACCUGAGAGGGUGAUCGGCCACACUGGAACUGAGACACGGUCCAGACUCCUACGGGAGGCAGCAGUAGGGAAUCUUCCGCAAUGGGCGAAAGCUUGACGGAGCAACGCCGCGUGAGUGAUGAAGGUCUUCGGAUCGUAAAACUCUGUUAUUAGGGAAGAACAAAUGUGUAAGUAACUAUGCACGUCUUGACGGUACCUAAUCAGAAAGCCACGGCUAACUACGUG
rnacentral:rRNA from 1 species